rnacentral:rRNA from 2 species
GAGUUUGAUCUUGGCUCAGAUUGAACGCUGGCGGCAUGCCUUACACAUGCAAGUCGAACGGCAGCACGGGAGCUUGCUCCUGGUGGCGAGUGGCGAACGGGUGAGUAAUGCAUCGGAACGUAUCCUGGAGUGGGGGAUAACGUAGCGAAAGUUACGCUAAUACCGCAUAUUCUGUGAGCAGGAAAGCGGGGGACCUUCGGGCCUCGCGCUCUUGGAGCGGCCGAUGUCGGAUUAGCUAGUUGGUGAGGUAAAGGCUCACCAAGGCGACGAUCCGUAGCAGGUCUGAGAGGAUGAUCUGCCACACUGGAACUGAGACACGGUCCAGACUCCUACGGGAGGCAGCAGUGGGGAAUUUUGGGACAAUGGGGGCAACCCUGAUCCAGCCAUGCCGCGUGAGUGAAGAAGGCCUCGG